rnacentral:rRNA from 1 species
ACCGCCAGUCGCGUGAAGGAAGAAGGUUCUAUGGAUUGUAAACUUCUUUUGUAAGGGAAUAAAAAGUAGUACGUGUACUAUAUUGUAUGUACUUUACGAAUAAGGAUCGGCUAACUCCGUGCCAGCAGCCGCGGUAAUACGGAGGAUCCAAGCGUUAUCCGGAUUUAUUGGGUUUAAAGGGUGCGUAGGCGGACUUAUAAGUCAGCGGUGAAAGUUUGCAGCUUAACUGUAAAAUUGCCGUUGAAACUGUUAGUCUUGAGUGUAAAUGAGGUAGGCGGAAUGUGUUGUGUACCGGUGAAAUGCUUAGAUAUAACACAGAACACCAAUUGCGAAGGCAGCUUACUGGGAUACAACUGACGCUGAGGCACGAAAGCGUGGGGAUCAAACAGGAUUAAAUACCCUGGUAGUCCACGCAGUAAACGAUGAAUACUAACUGUAUGCGAUAUACUGUAUGCGGUACAGCGAAAGCGUUAAGUAUUCCACCUGGGGAGUACGUUCGCAAGAAUG